CCCGCUGUAUUGAACUUCUAACCCGCACCCCUGAACCGGGGUGGGAGACAGUGUCAGGUGGGCAGUUUGACUGGGGCGGUCGCCUCCUAAAGAGUAACGGAGGCGCCCAAAGGUUCCCUCAGAAUGGUUGGAAAUCAUUCGCAGAGUGUAAAGGCACAAGGGAGCUUGACUGCGAGACCUACAAGUCGAGCAGGGACGAAAGUCGGGCUUAGUGAUCCGGUGGUUCCGCAUGGAAGGGCCAUCGCUCAACGGAUAAAAGCUACCCCGGGGAUAACAGGCUUAUCUCCCCCAAGAGUCCACAUCGACGGGGAGGUUUGGCACCUCGAUGUCGGCUCAUCGCAUCCUGGGGCUGUAGUCGGUCCCAAGGGUUGGGCUGUUCGCCCAUUAAAGCGGUACGCGAGCUGGGUUCAGAACGUCGUGAGACAGUUCGGU
rnacentral:ncRNA from 1 species